rnacentral:snRNA from 1 species
GUGCUCACUUUGGCAGCACAUAUACUAAAAUUGGAACGAUACGGAGAAGAUUAGCAUGGCCCCUGUGCAAGGUAAAAAAAAAAAAAAAGAAAAGAAAAAAGAAUGA